GCCACCUAAGACUGAAGACACGGUAGUGGGCUACAUGGCCUGACCUACGAGCGCUCUCUUAUCAGAGAACUCGGACUGCCCCGACACCAAAGUACUUCAGUAGAGCCUCCUUCUCAUCCCUGGACAGCUCAGCAGGGAGGUGGUUGGAUGAUCAGAGUUCUUCUCCUCCUUGACUGGACCAGAUCCUCAUCCGUCAUAGCUCUGUCAGAGAUCAGUACGGAUGAAGAAGAGAUGACAAUUAAGGGGGAAGCCAAAUCAAGAAUUCUCCAGCAGCCACAGAUGCACGAUGAAAGGAAGGCUGCUCCUGUUACACGGGCUACAGUGAAGUCUCUACCCUGCUCACCUAGAUUCUCCAGCAGCCACAGAUGCAUGAUGAAAGGAAGGCUGCUCCUGUUACAC
rnacentral:lncRNA from 13 species